UUAGAAUUUCUCAAUGUUAGUGAAUUGAAGUACUGUCACUUGCUUUUGGACAGUCGAACAGAACAGACGUGGUUGCGAGAGCUCUCAUAUCUGUUGUGUUAAACUGUUUUUAUGAUAUGUUAUGUUUGUUUGUUUGUUUGUGAUGUACUAUUUUUCAGAUGCUGAUGGCAGUGAUGGGUUUUCAAGCUGACCUGAACAGAAAAGCACUCAUAUGGUAAGUACAAAAUAGUUGUUAUAUGGGAUGUUUUGUGCAUGCUUUUAUGUUUCAGGUGUACUUGCUGACAGCGACGAAGACGAAUCAAGAAGAGGAACAUUGUUCAGAAAGUGAUUGGGACUUGCAAACAGGGUAAGUGUAACACUUGUGUUUGUUUAAUUUGUAACAUGCGUGCUUUGCUCUGUUUCAGAUUUCACAUGCAGAAAUUAAACAGGAUUUCAACUGCUGAGACACAAUUCAUCAAAAGUAAGGUAAGUUUUAAUUCAUUGAUUUGAGUUGUACAAUGUGUUCUUUACUUUAUUUCAGAUUCGAGUCACUGGUUUACACAUGGAAGAAGAUUUCCACGUCGGUUACUCAACUCUACAGAAGCAAGGUAAGUCGAUCAAAUUUUUGUUUUCAUUUGUACUGCUGUAAUGUGAUAGUAAACUUAUGCUAUUUUUCAUGUGUGUCAUGUACAGAUGGAUAAUUCAAAAUUGAUCUGUGUUGGUUUAUGUUCAAAAACGUUUUACAUGUAUGUGUGUUUGAAGAUGUUUUGUUUCAGUGGAUGUCCAGAUGGCAAGCAGAACAGACGUGUUUCUUGGAGCUGCCAAACAGUGAGUACAAACGUUUUAUAUUUUUCAGUUGUUUACUCAUAGAAGUCUGUGAAAGAUGAUAACAAGGGUUGAAUUGCACAGUACUUGUGUCUAAAAAUGCUGAUGUGUGACGGUUUACUGAAAAGGGUAAAUGCUAGCCAGUACUAACACUUGAGCAACCGUGGGAUGUCGAACUAACUGAUGAUGUACUAUGAUGGUGAACACUUACUUUGUGUAUCGAAAUGCUUUUGUUGAUAUUUACUAAAUAUUGAUUGACAUUUGUUUGCAUGCUGUUAACAUUUCUAUUUCAUUUCAGUUGGCUGUGGUGAGUAUUGUAAUAUACAUUUGUUUCAAUAAAUCAUGAUGAAUGAACACUGAUUUCGAUUCUUUUUUACAGUUUUAGGGAUUAUCACUCUAUAACAACUCUGUCGGUUGGUGUUCGUGAAUGUGAGCUUAAUGUUUGAGUAGUACAAAAAUGUCUUUACUUUUGUGAUCGCCAGUUGUCUGUGAUGUAAAGUGGAAAAAACACAGCUAUGAAGCAUACAAUUGUUUCAAUAUUUUAUCAAUGAUAGUGUGCUAUGCAUGUUUUGAUUUAGUUCGUUUCAGAUACGACAUGACAUGAAGAGUUGACAGUCGAACAGAGCUGAGCAAAGCAGAAAGGUAAGUGUGUUUCAUUUUAGUAUGGACACUUGUAUUUUGUUUUUAUAUGGUAUGUUUUGUGCAUGCUAUGUUUCAGGUGUACUUGUAGUCAGCGACGAAGACGAUUCAAGAAGAGGAACAUUGCUGAGAAAGUGAAUGGGACUUGCAAACAGGGUAAGUGUUACAAUUGUUUGUUUGAUUUUUACCAUGCAUACUUUGCUUUGCUCUGUUUCAGAUUUCACAUGCAGAAAUGGUCUCAUAGCAGUGCCAACAGUGAAUAAGGAUUUCAGCUGCUGUGAAACAACUCAACAGAAAGUAGGUAAGCAUUGAAUGAAUGCACUUGAGUUGUACAAUUUGAUGUGAUGCUUUUCUCUGUUUCAGAUUCAAGUUCCUGGUGUAGACAGAGAAAUGUGUUUGAAGAAGGAAUUCUACUACUGUGAUUCAACUCUACAGAAGCAAGGUAAGUAGAAACAAAAUUUUGGUUUAAUUUAACUCAUGUGUUUUGCACUGCAUGCUAUUUUUCAGGUCUCUCAUGCAGUGAUGGAAAAGAAGAAGAUUUCAAGAAAGAAUCACUGCUGCAACUCAGGCCUAUAACAAGGUAAGUGUUUACUAUAUUGUAUACAAAAUGUUUCUCUGUUUUACUCUGUUUCAGGUUUCAAUUGCAGAGAUGUUGCAGAGAUGUUUUGACAGCUUGUGGCAGAAAAGAAAUUCAGCAUCUGUUUCUCGACUCUAGCCACGAGGUAAGUCAAAACAAAUAUACUGGUUUGUAUGUAAUGUUGUUAUGCCCUUCUAUGUUUCAGACUUACAUUGCUGUGACUGUUCCACAGUGGGUCAAAAAAGAGACGAAUACAGGUUUCAAGAAGAAAAUUGGCUGUUAAAAACCUGCACAAAAUAUGAGGUAAGUAAACUACUCUUUUGGUUUGUUUUGUGCUUUGUUAUGCUUAACUAUUUUUCAGAUUGGAAUGGUGGGUCGUUACAGAGCAGACUUUUGGACUACUGAGAAGUUGAGAAACAGAGAAUGAUUCAAGAUCAGCUAGGUAAGUCUUGAUUAUUAUGCAUUGCUAAAUGUUUUUUUCAUUCCAGUAUGGCUGUGGUAAGUACACAAACUUUCUAUAAUUUAAUAUUGAACUGUUUUUAUGACCUGUAUUCUGCAUUGUAAAAUGUCUGUUUUUCAUUUCAGUAUCCUGUGGUAAGUACACUAACUUUGUAUAAUUUCAUAUUGAAAUGUUUUGAUGACUUGUAUCCUGCUAUGCAAUGCUUAAUAUAUUUUUCAUUUCAGUGUGGCUGUGGUAAGUACACUAACUUUCUUUUCUUUUUCAUAUUGAACUGUUUUGGUGACUUGUAUUCUGCUAUACAAAAUGUGUUUUUUUCAUUUCAGUUGCCUGUGGUAAGUACAAUUGCCUUCUUUAAUUUUCAUAUUGAACUGUUUUGAUGACUUGUAUACUGCAUUGUAAAAUGUGUUUCUUUUUCAUUUCAGUAUGGCUGUGGUAAGUACAAUUGCCUUCUUUAAUUUUCAUAUUGAACUGUUUUGAUGACUUUUAUUCUGCCAUACAAAAUGUGUUUUUUUUUCAUUUCAGUUGCCUGUUGGUAAGUACAAUUUGCUUUCUUUAAUUGCAUAUUGAAAUAUGUUUUAUGACUUUUAUUCUGCUAUGCUUUUUUCAUUUCAGUUUGGCAGAUGUAAGUACACUUCAUUUAUGUAAAAACUGAAUAUGAUUGUUGUGCUAUACAAAAUGUGCUUUUUUCAAUUUCAGGUCAGCAAUGGUAAGUAGAUUGUGUUUCUUUAUGUAUAAUUUUGUAUACAUAUUGUUUUUUUCAUCAUAGCAUGUCUUUUAUAUUUAUGCUUUGUGUAAGUAAAAUGUUCAUAAAUCAUUCUUAUCUUCAAACUAAAAAUGUAUUGUGCUAUGCAAAAUGUCUGUAUGAUUUCAGUUGCCAGAGGUGAGUACCAUUACAGUUGAAAAGUUAGUUUUGUUUAGUUAAAGUUUUGGUUCACAGUUCUGUUUAUUAUUUGGCAAAAUUUACAUGUAUGCAUUGAGUCUUGAUUUCAGCUCGAUUGUGGACUGAAGAAGAUUGCCAGCAGAGGGAUUGGAUACAAAAUACAAAGUAAGUACUGAGUUUCUUACUAAAAGUGUUGAGUUGUAUUCAUUGUGUGUUAAUAUGCUAUGAUUGCUAUGAACAUGACUUUUGUAUUUCAGCGAAGACAACAUAGGUAAGUAAAAUUGUUAUCUGUUUCAAGUUUACUGUUAUAGUUCAAUAUUGUGUUUAUAAAUUGUAAGUUGUACAAACACAUUCAAAAGUUUCUGAUCAUGCUUUCAAUUUCAUUUCAGCCCUACUACAAGACGAGUGUUUUCUACUACUAGACGAGUCAGCUUUACUACCAGGCGAGCAGUGACAACAAGGCGCCUUUGUGGAAACAGCAAAACAAACAACUCUACUGCAAGACGAGCAGUAACAGCAAGGCGCCUGAACAUGCAACACAAUACAAAAAAUGCCAAUUUGCAAACCUUGAUGUGGACACCGAGUAGUCAAUACAUACGUGUGGCGUAUAGCUGCGACAAAACCGUGGGUCCAUCGCACCGAUAACUUGAACAUUGGCCCGUGUAUGGACAUCAGUGCAACUUUGUGAAUCCGUGUAUCUUUGUGAAUCCAUGUAACAUUGCGAAUGUGUGUCGAUCGAAAAAUGUGUACAUUCUGAACUGAAACGAACUCGGUGUUGCAAGUGGCAAGUGUUGACAGUGUGUAUGUUUAUGUUUAUGUUUUUACAUGAAAACUAAAGGAGAUUGUUCUCCUACCUUUUUUUUCCUUGUUUUAUUGCGCUGGCCAGCAAUAUUGAUGUAUUGAUGUAUGUGUUUGUGUUUAAACUAUGCAAUACCAAAAUCAAACAAAAAAUAAACAUUAACAGUCAUUAACUGUGUUUGGGCGGCCGAGGGGUUUAAGACUCCACAAGUGUGAAGCGCACUGAUAGCACUUGGGGGUGAACACCUCGGUAUUUCGGUGCUAAAAUGUUUUCACGGUGCUUAUCUUGACGCACUGUUAAGACUACCAACCAGUUAAUGAUUGCUUCAUCUUUAAACAAAAAGUAAGUCUCUACUUUGGCACAAGAGACUCCAAGUACCAAAUACCAACAAUUAAAAAGCAGACGUUUUUCAAAACUAUGAUCGCUGAGAUUGAUAGUCAGAUGGAGUCCUGCCCAGUUAGCUGUGUAGCGGUCUAGGGCGGGGUUGCAAGUCAAUACGAAAUGAGGCGCUAUAAAGCAACUCGUCCCCGUUAUGACCGUCAAUACUUUCGACACUAUCUGGGAAUCCUUUCAACACCACAUUGUUGCGCUGUUGGAAGGGUGGUAGGCACGCAUGGUGACAUGCCUGUGCUUUGCUAUGCGACACCAUGGUAUUUUCGUACGGUGACACGAAAUAUCUUAAUCUGGCUCUCUCAGAAACGCAGGCACGCGUUGACCGAACCUGACCGAUGACCGAGCAAUAACAUUUCUAUUAAGUGCUUCAAUGCACAAAGUCUGCUAGGCUGGGUGGGAA